GACGAACGCUGGCGGCGUGCUUAACACAUGCAAGUCGAACGGAAAGGCCCUGCUUUUGUGGGGUGCUCGAGUGGCGAACGGGUGAGUAACACGUGAGUAACCUGCCCUUGACUUUGGGAUAACUUCAGGAAACUGGGGCUAAUACCGGAUAGGAGCUCCUGCUGCAUGGUGGGGGUUGGAAAGUUUCGGCGGUUGGGGAUGGACUCGCGGCUUAUCAGCUUGUUGGUGGGGUAGUGGCUUACCAAGGCUUUGACGGGUAGCCGGCCUGAGAGGGUGACCGGCCACAUUGGGACUAAGAUACGGCCCAGACUCCUACGGGAGGCAGCAGUGGGGAAUAUUGCACAGUGGGCGGAAGCCUGAUGCAGCAACGCCGCGUGCGGGAUGACGGCCUUCGGGUUGUAAACCGCUUUCGCCUGUGACGAAGCGUGAGUGACGGUAAUGGGUAAAGAAGCACCGGCUAACUACGUG
rnacentral:rRNA from 1 species